rnacentral:rRNA from 1 species
AGUGAACGCUGGCGGUAGGCCUAACACAUGCAAGUCGAACGGCAGCACAGUAAGAGCUCGCCCCUACGGGUGGCGAGUGGCGGACGGGUGAGGAAUACAUCGGAAUCUAAUUUUUCGUGGGGGAUAACGUAGGGAAACUUAUGCUAAUACCGCAUACGACCUACGGGAGAAAGCAAGGGAUCUUCGGACUCUUCGCGUUAGAUUGAGCCGAUGUCGGAUUAGCUAGUUGGCAAGGUAAAGGCCCACCCAGGCGACGAUACGUAGCUGGACUGAGAGGAUGAUCGGCCACACUGGAACUGAGACACGGUCCAGACUCCUACGGGAGGCAGCAGUGGGGAAUAUUGGACAAUGGGCGCAAGCCUGAUCGAGCCAUACCGCGUGGGUGAAGAAGGCCUUCGGAUUGUAAAGCCCUGUUGUUGGGAAAGAAAAGCAGCGGGUUAAUAUCUCGCUAUUCUGACGGUACCCAAAGAGAAAGCACCGGCUAACUACGUG